rnacentral:rRNA from 1 species
GAUGAACGCUGGCGGCGUGCCUAAUACAUGCAAGUCGAGCGAACAGACGAGGAGCUUGCUCCUCUGACGUUAGCGGCGGACGGGUGAGUAACACGUGGCUAACCUAUCUAUAAGACUGGGAUAACUUCGGGAAACCGGAGCUAAUACCGGAUAAUAUAUUGAACCGCAUGGUUCAAUAGUGAAAGACGGUUUUGCUGUCACUUAUAGAUGGAUCCGCGCCGCAUUAGCUAGUUGGUAAGGUAACGGCUUACCAAGGCAACGAUGCGUAGCCGACCUGAGAGGGUGAUCCGCCACACUGGAACUGAGACACGGUCCAGACUCCUACGGGAGGCAGCAGUAGGGAAUCUUCCGCAAUGGGCGAAAGCCUGACCGAGCAAUGCCGCGUGAGUGAAGAAGGUCUUCGGAUUGUAAAACACUUUUAGUUGGGAAGAACAAAAGUGAAAGAAAACAUUGCCGUUUUGACGGUACCAAAACAAGAAGCCACGGCUAACUACGUG